GGCUCAGCUAUAUAUGAUCACAGGCCCAUCCCCUAAAACUUAUAUGGAAACUUGAAUGAUGUCAGCUUCUAAAGGACACUGUAUGAAGGACUGGAUUGCCAGUGGCUCAAUUUUCCUACAUAAUUCAGAGUUGUGGCUUGGGCAAUGCCAAGAACCACAUCUGCACUGAAAUCAAUUAUCUGUUGGUUGCUUUCACACUGACUUCGGCUUGACUCAGGAGUAGUCUUGGUGGAUUCUUGGAUGUGCUACUGGGGAGGCUACCGAUGUGCAGAACAAGCUCCCAAUCAGCCACGUGACCGCAAAGAUGACUUCCACUAACAUAGAUGGAGGAUGUGUAGCUCAUUUCAGUGGGACAUCCAGAGUCCUGUCUACAGUGGUUGGAGUUCUGGCUUAAAUUCAAGCAGCUGAAAACACAAGAAAUAAGAAGACCGUUUGAGAAGAGCAGAUAGUUGCCUUAAGAAAAUUCCUGUCAUAUGCACUCUGGGAUUUGGACUCAAAUCCUAAUUAUACAGUAAGUGAAAUGAACACAGACUUUACAUUAACCUAAUGUAAAGCUGCAGAACUGUGAUACCUGUUCAAUUUGGUUAAAGGAAUUGAAGGUGGUGGCUUUUUUUUUUUUUUUUUUUUUUUUUUUUGGCAGAAAGGGUUAUUUGUGACAGUUGACAAAGUAGAUAUUUUUGGUUGUCUAAAGAGAAUAUUAUUUUUCUCCCUAUUCCUUACACCUUUUUAAAAAGCCAAACAGGGAGUUCCUGUGGUGGUACAAUGGUGAUGAACCCAUCUAGUAUCCAUGAGGAUACAGGUUCGAUCCUUGGCCUUGCUCAAUGAAUAAGGGAUCCAGCAUUGUCAUGAGCUGUGGUGUAAGUCACAGAUGCAGCUCGGAUCUGACAUUGCUGUGGCUGUGGUAUAAACUGGCAGCUACGGCUCCAAUUCAGCCCCUAGCUUGGGAAUUUCCAUAUGCCUAGGCUGUGGCCCUAAAAUGACAAAAAAAAAUAAAAAUAAAAAGGAAUAUUUUUAUUAUCUAACUUUUAAAUCAAAAACAUUUCCUUUUCCAAAUUAUAUUCAUUAUAAUUUUGAUAUAUAGUACAAAUUAAUACUUCUUGAAUUUCAACAUGUAUAAGUAGAACGUCUAUUGAAUUAUUUUUGUCAUAUUAAUUUUUGAUCAAGGGGUAAUUUUUUUUUAUCAAAGAAUACACCAACAAAUCAAAGCUAGUCAACAAAGAGCAUGGCCUCAGUUCACAAAAGUGGGACAUAUAAAGUAAUGUUGAGGGAAUAUUCAACUAUUUGUAAAUCUAUUUUUAAAAGUUAAGACAGGAGUUCCCAUUGUGGCUCAGUGGUUAAUGAACCCUACUAGUAUCCCUGAGGAUGCCUGACCUUGCUCAGUGGGUUAAGGAUCUGGCAUUGCUGUGAGCUGUAGUCUAGGUCACAGUUGGGGCUAGGAUCCCACAAUGCUGUGGCUGUGGCGUAGGCUGUAGCUACAGCUCCAAUUUGCCCCCUAGUCUGGGAAUCUCCAUAUGCUGCAGAUGCAGUCCAAAUAAAUAAAUAAAUAAAUAAAUAAAAUAAAAGUUAAGGCAAUAUAGCAGAGUUAUUUUUCUACCAAGCAAAAUAUUAUCUAGCCAUUGGUUCCUCCAAACAAAUGGAAUGGAACAAUGACUCCAGAAUUUUUUUCCUGAAUGAAGUUUUCCCAUGGCUAGUGACUACAUAAGAAUAAGACCCAAGGGCACCACCUGGGACACACAGAUGGUUGUAAAUGCCCCCUACUCUCAAGAGUAUCAAAAUACCUGCAUAAGUAAACUUAAGGAUGCUUUCUGUUUGAAUCUCAAGUUCACAUCCUUCUAUCAAAUGGCUAUAGAGCAACCAUACACACUACAUUUGAUGGGUAAGAUUCUGGCAGGUUUUCCUUAACAUAUUCUUUGGCAGUCAUUUCUAUGGGCAAAUGUAGGAGAAGCAGUGACUGACAGGCAGUCUCUAAUAGCACUGGCAGAGCAUAAUGGAGCUACUCAGAAGCAUAGUUUUCAGUGCACUGAAUUGCAUUCAUUUGUUUACGUGGUGAUCUUUCUUUGGAGAUUUGUCCUCACAAGGGCAGGGCCUGUUUUAUAUUUGUCUUGAGAAAUCUCACACACCCCAAUACCUAGCACAAAACUGGACAUAUGAUAAGCACUCAGUAAGCAUUGCUUAGAUUAAGUAACCAAGGUAGAGUGUGUUCUUGUGUUCAAGAGAGAACUUACUAAAGUGUUCUAAAUAUGGGAGUUCCCAUCGUGGCUCAGGGGGUAAAGAACUCAACUAGUAUCCAUGAGGAUUCAGGUUCAACCCUUGCCCUUGCUCAGUGGGUUAAGGAUCUAGCCUGCUGCAAGCUACAGUGUAGGCUGCUGCAGAUGUGUCUCAGAUCCGGCAUGACUGUGGCUGUGGCUGCAGCUCUGAUUGGACCCCUAACCUGGAACUUCCAUAUGCUGCAGGUGUGGCCCUUAAAAAAAAAAAAAAAA
rnacentral:lncRNA from 1 species